rnacentral:tRNA from 1 species
GGGUCGGUAGCUGAGACGGUUUAGCGCUUGGCUGAAAACCAGGAGACGAGGAUUCGAGCACCUCCCGACCCA